CAGUCACCAGUCACCAGUCACCAGUCACCAGUCGCGACUCACGAGCCCCCAGUCACCAGUCCCCAGUCCCCAGUCCCCAGUCACCAGUCCCCAGUCACCAGUCCCCAGUCACCAGUCCCCUGUCACCAGUCCCCAGUCACGAGUCACCAGUCACGAGCCCCCAGUCACCAGUCACCAGUCCCCAGUCACCAGUCCCCUGUCACCAGUCCCCAGUCACGAGUCACCAGUCACGAGCCCCCAGUCACCAGUCACUUAGUAACGCAAUCCAAAUUUUGUUUUCAAUGAAAUUUUUGAUGUCCAUGUUAUGUGUUUUAUGAUGCAAGUCCCAUGAUGAAUUUUGCUCAAAAUUAAAUUUUUAACUUUUUUUAUAUUUUUUAAUUAUAUUUUUAAUAUUUUCUGCACUUUAAAAAAUUAUAAUUAAAUAAUCCCUUUCCAGAAAAUUCCAAUUUUUUGUGGGAUGUGUUAUUUAAUUAUUGACAACGUCCCUGUAAAAUGUCAAGAAACAAUUCCAAGUCUAGGUACCUCAACUCGAAAAUGUGCCCCUUAUAUAAUUUUUAAAAAAAUCUCCGUUUGUCAAAAAGUUCCAAUUUUUUUGAUGGACAUUAGUAUUGUGUUGAUGAACAUUCGUGCAAAAUUUCAUGAAAAAAUUCGAAGUCUAGAUCCCGAGUCACCAGUCACGAGUCGCGAUUCACGAGCCCCCAGUCACCAGUCACGAGUCGCGACUCACGAGCCCC
rnacentral:lncRNA from 1 species